UACGUAGGGUGCAAGCGUUGUCCGGAAUUAUUGGGCGUAAAGAGCUCGUAGGCGGUUUGUCGCGUCUGCUGUGAAAACCCGAGGCUCAACCUCGGGCCUGCAGUCGAUACGGGCAAACUAGAGUGCUGUAGGGGAGACUGGAAUUCCUGGUGUAGCGGUGAAAUGCGCAGAUAUCAGGAGGAACACCGGUGGCGAAGGCGGGUCUCUGGGCAGUAACUGACGCUGAGGAGCGAAAGCGUGGGGAGCGAACAGG
rnacentral:rRNA from 1 species